GACGAACGCUGGCGGCGUGCCUAAUACAUGCAAGUUGAGCGCUGAAGGUUGGUACUUGUACCAACUGGAUGAGCAGCGAACGGGUGAGUAACGCGUGGGGAAUCUGCCUUUGAGCGGGGGACAACAUUUGGAAACGAAUGCUAAUACCGCAUAAAAACUUUAAACACAAGUUUUAAGUUUGAAAGAUGCAAUUGCAUCACUCAAAGAUGAUCCCGCGUUGUAUUAGCUAGUUGGUGAGGUAAAGGCUCACCAAGGCGAUGAUACAUAGCCGACCUGAGAGGGUGAUCGGCCACAAUGGGACUGAGACAAGGCCCAAACUCCUACGGGAGGCAGCAGUAGGGAAUCUUCGGCAAUGGACGAAAGUCUGACCGAGCAAAGCCGCGUGAGUGAAGAAGGUUUUCGGAUCGUAAAACUCUGUUGGUAGAGAAGAAAGUUGGUGAGAGUGGAAAGCGCAUCAAGUGACGGUAACUACCCAGAAAGGGACGGCUAACUACGUG
rnacentral:rRNA from 1 species